AGCCAUUUCACCGAAACAUAUUCAGUUUCAGAUACCCCUUCACCCUGUCUGGGGAAGGGAUAACAUCAGAGAUACCCAAUUUGCAACAGUGCUAUGCCAACCCAAAUGGUGUGCAGAACCUGGCUAUUCCCACUCAGUGCCACGGUGCCUGCCUGACGAGAUGGGAACUUAGAGAGUUUAGUCCUCCAGCAGCAGUACCUGCUGACAGAAAUGCCCUACAACUCCUGUCUUCUUAAAAGCUUGAACCAGAGACAUAGUUACAGUGGCCCAGACAACAGAUUACAGGACAUUUAUUGCUGUUCAGUCUCUCUCUCCUUGGCAAAAUACAGCAGCUGAAGAGGCAACAGCAGGCUGGAUUCUAGGCUUUCCAUUUGAAGGGACACCAAGCCAACCUCUCCUGUCUCAGUCCUGGCACACUCUGAGGAGAAUCCUUCAAUCAGCAGGUAGUUGCAUGUAAAGCGUCUCUUACCUCCAGAUUGGGAUUUUGCCAAUCACUGCUGAUGACUGGAAGACUUAGAGGACAAAAAGAAUAAGGAAAUUUUAAUUUCCUAGGCCUGCUGAUGUUUUUUUACAUUGGACAAUAAUUAGAAUCCUUACAUACACCAUACUGAGUGCAGGGACAAAGGACCUUUAGGCAGGGGCCCUUCUUACUUAUUUAUUUGGAUGUUAUGAAAAGUUAUCAAUGCAUUUCAAGGCCAGGCUGGUGGUCUAG